rnacentral:rRNA from 1 species
CCCUUAGAUGUCCUGGGCCGCACGCGCGCUACACUGAGUGUCUGAGAUACGAGUCUGCCUGGUCCGGCAAGGUCUAGGUAAUCGCUAAAAGACACAUCAUGCUUGGGAUAGAUUAUUGCAAAUAUUAAUCUUGAACGAGGAAUUCCUAGUAAGCGCAAGUCAACAGCUUGCAUUUAUUACGUCCCUGCCCUUUGUACACACCGCCCGUCGCUACUACUGAUUGGAUGUUUAAGCGAGGUUCUCGAACUGCUAGCGACUUAGCUUCGGUGAGGUCGCAGUGUGGGAAGUGAACCUAGCUUUGGUGUCUAGAGGAAGUAAAAGUCGUAACA